AACUACCCUUCGGAACACAAUACCCUCGGGAAACUGAGGCUAAUAGUGUAUACCAUACCACCACUGGAAUGAGUGGUAUGCCAAACGCUCCGGCGCCGAAGGAUGUGGCUGCGGCCGAUUAGGUAGACGGUGGGGUAACGGCCCACCGUGCCAAUAAUCGGUAUGGGUCAUGAGAGUGAGAACCCAGAGACGGAAUCUGAGACAAGAUUCCGGGCCCUACGGGGCGCAGCAGGCGCGAAACCUUUACACUGCACGACAGUGCGAUAGGGGGAUCCCAAGUGCACAGGCAUAGCGCCUGUGCUUUUCGGUACCCUAAGGCGGUACCAGAAUAAGGGCUGGGCAAGACCGGUGCCAGCCGCCGCGGUAAUACCGGCAGCCCAAGUGAUGGCCGAUCUUAUUGGGCCUAAAGCGUCCGUAGCUGGCCGCGCAAGUCCAUCGGGAAAUCCACCUGCUCAACAGGUGGGCGCCCGGUAGAAACUGCGUGGCUUGGGACCGGAAGGCGCGACGGGUACGUCCGGGGUAGGAGUGAAAUCCCGUAAUCCUGGACGGACCGCCGAUGGCGAAAGCACGUCGCGAGAACGGAUCCGACAGUGAGGGACGAAAGCCAGGGUCUCGAACCGGAUUAGAUACCCGGGUAGUCCUGGCCGUAAACAAUGUCUGCUAGGUGUGGCUCCCACUACGAGUGGGUGCUGUGCCGUAGGGAAGCCGCUAAGCAGACCGCCUGGGAAGUACGUCCGCAAGGAUGAAACUUAAAGGAAUUGGCGGGGGAGCACUACAACCGGAGGAGCCUGCGGUUUAAUUGGACUCAACGCCGGACAUCUCACCAGCAUCGACUGUAGUAAUGACGAUCAGGUUGAUGACCUUAUCCGAGCUUCAGAGAGGAGGUGCAUGGCCGCCGUCAGCUCGUACCGUGAGGCGUCCUGUUAAGUCAGGCAACGAGCGAGACCCGCACCCUUAC
rnacentral:rRNA from 1 species